rnacentral:rRNA from 1 species
GGCCAGACUCCUACGGGAGGCAGCAGUGGGGAAUAUUGCACAAUGGGGGAAACCCUGAUGCAGCGACGCCGCGUGAGUGAAGAAGUAUUUCGGUAUGUAAAGCUCUAUCAGCAGGGAAGAAAAUGACGGUACCUGACUAAGAAGCCCCGGCUAACUACGUGCCAGCAGCCGCGGUAAUACGCAGGGGGCAAGCGUUAUCCGGAUUUACUGGGUGUAAAGGGGGCGCAGACGGCGAUGCAAGCCAGGAGUGAAAGCCCGGGGCCCAACCCCGGGACUGCUCUUGGAACUGCGUGGCUGGAGUGCAGGAGGGGCAGGCGGAAUUCCCGGUGUAGCGGUGAAAUGCGUAGAUAUCAGGAGGAACACCGGUGGCGAAGGCGGCCUGCUGGACUGCAACUGACGUUGAGGCCCGAAAGCGUGGGGAGCAAACAGGAUUAGAUACCCGGGUA